rnacentral:rRNA from 1 species
UAGGGAAUCUUGCGCAAUGGGCGAAAGCCUGACGCAGCCACGCCGCGUGAGGGAUGAAGGCUCUCGGGUUGUAAACCUCUUUCAGCAGGGACGAAAAUGACGGUACCUGCAGAAGAAGCUCCGGCCAACUACGUGCCAGCAGCCGCGGUAAUACGAAGGGACCUAGCGUAGUUCGGAAUUACUGGGCUUAAAGAGCUCGUAGGUGGUUAAAGAAGUUGGUGGUGAAAUCCCAAGGCUUAACCUUGGAACUGCCAUCAAAACUUUUUAGCUAGAGUAUGAUAGAGGAAAGUGGAAUUUCUAGUGUAGAGGUGAAAUUCGUAGAUAUUAGAAAGAACAUCAAAAGCGAAGGCAACUUUCUGGAUCAUUACUGACACUGAGGAGCGAAAGCAUGGGUAGCGAAGAGG